UUUCCGUCCUAAAAAUCCUACGGUACUUCCUGGCUCCCGCUCGAUUUGAGAGAGAGAGAGAGAGAGAGAGAGAGAGAAACAGGAGAGACAAAAUUGUGGAGAUGGAAGGAGGGGGAGGAAUGGGAAGCGAUGUGGAGAGAGAAGAAAAAGAAGAGGACGCGGCCACUGAUUUACUCAGGGAUCGUUUCCGACUCUGCACUAUCUCCAUCGCCGAAUCCGAAGCAACACGCAACAACGUGGAAAUUUCUCAACCUAUAAUGUCCUGCAUCGCUGAUUUAGCCUUCAAAUAUACAGAGCAGUUGGCGAAGGACCUUGAGUUGUUUUCACAACAUGCAGGCCGUAAAUCUGUGAACAUGGAAGAUGUCAUUCUUUCUGCUCAUAGGAAUGAACAUCUAGCUGGCUUAUUGAGGUUCUUCUGCAAUGAUCUGAAAGCAAAAGAACCCCAGUCUGAGAGGAAAAGGAAAAAAGGACCAAGAAAAGAAGACAACGCUGCAGACGCAAAAGAACCCCAGACUGAGAGGAAGCGGAAAAAAGGACCAAGAAAAGAAGACAAGGCUGCGGCUGGAGCAACAAUCCACAUUCCUGACCUUUAGCUCAGUAACUCUUGGUAAUAUUAUCACAUCGACAAAGAAAAAUGGUCAUAUGAAUAGAAGGUUGGUUCAUAUAUAGACACCAAACGGGCAUUGCUUAUACAGAGUUGUCCUGAUGUUAGGAGCAUGUAACUACCCCUUGACUACCUGAGUAGGUGGCGCAUGUCUAGACGAUGUGGAAGUUAAAAAACUGUUUUCGUCUUAUCAUGUCAUGGAACAUCUGCUGCUGCUUGAUGGAGAUAGUUGCCCAUAAUAUGGCUCACCAACUUCACUUGCCUCUAUGGGGGGCUCUCUCCGGGCAGGUUCGGAUCACUUUCUAGGUCCCCAAGCUUUUUUAACCUUGGGGAACCUAAACCGGCCUAUGCUCUUUCCUUUUCUUUUUGUUAGAUGUCAUUUAUUUCCAACAUAAAACAACCACACAAAGAACGGAGAACUCCUGGGGCAUCCCUCAGGUCAGUCCACAAUCAACAGAAAAGUGAAAGAUACUCUUCCACUGCCUCAGAAUGCGCUAGGACCCGUGGCCGGUUGGCCCCAAGGGAGCAGACCCACACAAGGCAGCUGUGAUUGGUGACACUAUCAGUGACCCUCUCAGGCCCGUCACUCAGCAUUCUUAUCAAGCUAAUGGCAGUUGAAUCGCUUGUGUUUGCUCCCUUCUUUGCCGCUCGUGGUGGCCUGCUUUUUAAGAUCUUCUGAGAGGGAGCGGAUGAAAAGAAAUAGAUGUGGGAGGCGGUUCAAACUUGUCCCUUGUAUUGGUAUCAUCAUCUCUAGUUUCAUAUCAUUUCACUGUUUUGGAACAGAGAGUUAUUUAAUUCCUUGUAUUGGCAUCUGUUUCCUUUUAAUUAAUGAAGGAGAGCUUGAACGGCCUAA